UUAAGUUCAGCGGGUAUCCCUACCUGAUCCGAGGUCAAACCGUAGGUAAAAACUUGCUGGCGGGCGCCGCCGCGGCCCCAGAGCGAGUAUCUCUGCUACGCUCAGGGCCGAACCGGCACCGCCGACGGGUUGCGGGCGGGUCCCAAGACCUCGCCCAAGACCAAGCCGGGCUUGAUAGUCUUCAAUGACGCUCGGACAGG
rnacentral:misc_RNA from 1 species